GAUGAACGCUGGCUACAGGCUUAACACAUGCAAGUCGAGGGGAAACGACGGGGAAGCUUGCUUCCCCGGGCGUCGACCGGCGCACGGGUGAGUAACGCGUAUCCAACCUGCCUCUGACUGAGGGAUAACCCGUCGAAAGUCGGCCUAAUACCUCAUGGUAUCGUCUGCGGGCAUCCAACGACGAUUAAAGAUUUCAUCGGUCAGGGAUGGGGAUGCGUCUGAUUAGCUUGUUGGCGGGGUAACGGCCCACCAAGGCUACGAUCAGUAGGGGUUCUGAGAGGAAGGUCCCCGACAUUGGAACUGGGACACGGUCCAAACUCCUACGGGACGCAGCAGUGAGGAAUAUUGGUCAAUGGGCGAGAGCCUGAACCAGCCAAGUAGCGUGCAGGAAGACGGCGCUAUGGGUUGUAAACUGCUUUUAUGCGGGGAUAAAGUGAGGGACGUGUCCCUCAUUGCAGGUACCGCAUGAAUAAGGACCGGCUAAUUCCGUG
rnacentral:rRNA from 1 species